rnacentral:rRNA from 1 species
GACGAACGCUGGCGGCGUGCUUAACACAUGCAAGUCGAACGGAAAGGCCCUGCUUUUGUGGGGUGCUCGAGUGGCGAACGGGUGAGUAACACGUGAGUAACCUGCCCUUGACUUUGGGAUAACUUCAGGAAACUGGGGCUAAUACCGGAUAGGAGCUCCUGCUGCAUGGUGGGGGUUGGAAAGUUUCGGCGGUUGGGGAUGGACUCGCGGCUUAUCAGCUUGUUGGUGGGGUAGUGGCUUACCAAGGCUUGGACGGGUAGCCGGCCUGAGAGGGUGACCGGCGAGAUUGGGACUGAGAUACGGCCCAGACUACUACGGGAGGCAGCAGUGGGGAAUAUUGCACAAUGGGCGGAAGCCUGAUGCAGCAACGCCGCGGGCGGGAUGACGGCCUUCGGGGUGUAAACCGCUUUCGCCUGUGACGAAGCGUGAGUGACGGUAAUGGGUAAAGAAGCACCGGCUAACUACGUG